CACGCGCGCACGCACACGAUUCAGAUCACACACACGCGCGCACGCACACACACCGACACACACACACACAGCACUCGCAUAGCGCAGCACAUAGCAGGGCAGACAAUGAGAGAGGGCCACGCUGCUGCUGAUGAUGAUGCGCGUAGGAGGAGGAGGAGGGCAUCGGUAGGAGGGAAGCAUUUGUGAGAGCUGCAGCAGUGAGUAGUUUUACGCGCAGACCGAGAUGCGCGUGGCGCGUAGGGGUUGUUUACAUCUGCUGUUGUGUUGUCGUGUCUGUGCUCUUAACACCGUGUUGUGUUGUACGUGAGCAGUUGUUGCUGCUGCUGCUGUUGUUGUUGUGGCUGCCGCUGCUGCUGUUAUUGUUGCAGUGGCUACUGCUGUGGUUGUUGUUGUUGCAGUGGCUACUGCUGCUGCUGUCUGCGUGUCUGCGUUAGCUCGGCGCCGAGCAGCGCUCAUCACUGCAACGCUGCAGGAAUGCGCGGAGCUGAAUUUUUCAUCAAGAGCCCGAGGACAGAACGUCCAGUAGCAGACAAGUCUGAGCUCAGGUCGCCUCCGCUCUCCUCUAUCCCGGAAUCCUCAUCAGCAGGCAUCGUCAUUUAAUCAUUACAGGAUAUUAAGAUCAUCAUCAUCAUCAGAGUAACGUCGUCAACAAUCAGCAUCGUUAAAAGCACGAUCAUUAUCAUUGCGCAACGUUGUUAAUAACAUCAUCAUCAUUAUCGUCAUUAAAUGUUUUAUUGUCAUCAUCAACAAGCGCCGUCAUUAAUCACCGCUAUCAGCGUCUUGAUCAUCAAGCAGCGCCGUCAAUAACCAUCAUCAGCUACAUCGUAAUAAUCAUCGUUACAAUAUCGAUUAUCAUCGCGCAACCACUACCAUCAUCAUCAUCGUUAAAAUAUCCUAAUUGACACAGUCAAUAACAGCCAUCGUCAGCAGUCGUAGCCAUCACCGCGACCACUCUCUGAUCUGCAGGGGUAUAAAUCAUCACCACAGUUACGAUCAUCAGUGGGAGCAUCAGCGGUACCACUAACACAAAAGCAUCAACACAUUCGCCCUUACCAGGACGAGCUCGUAGUGUCCAACCACAACAGUCUGCAGCUACAAACAGAGUCCAACACAACGGCUGAGCUGGGGCUGCACACAAACAAUCCUCUUUGCCUGAGCAACGACAAAGCAGCAGCAGCAGCAUCUUAAGGAGCAGCAGCAGCAGCAUCAACAUCGGCUUCAUCAACAUCAUCAGCAGCAUCAACGCCGGCUCCAUCAACAUCGGCAGCAGCAUCGCCACGACCAUGAUCGAGACCAUCACACACAAGUUGCGGGCCUGCUCUCUGAAUGAGGUUCGCCCGUUUGUGUUGAAGGUGACGCGUUUGUGCAGCGGAGACUCGGACUCUGAGGAGGAGAACCAGGAACUGGCACAGAUCGACCGAGAGAGAAGGAAAUUACGGUGCCUUCCAUGCAGACCGACGGGAGCUGAUUUGAGCCAAAGGACAACCCAUUACAAGGAGCUGCUGCAGCCGAGCGCCGAGUGCCAGAACCGGCUGGGGCUGCUGGAGGACCGGGCGGUGCCGGCGGUGCCGGCGUCAAGCGGCUGGCAGGAGAGGAGGGCUCCUGGCUGCUACCACACGUGGCCCCAGGCCGGCGGGCGGCCCGGCGGCCGCUGCGCGCUGGUGACCGCCAGGGCGUGGGCCGGCUGGGACCCGCACCGCGGCGUGCCCGCCGCCUUCCAGCCGCUGCGGCAGCAGCACCCUUGCCGGACGGCGGCGGCUGCGGCGGCGGCGGCGCGGACGUUGGCGACGGCCCCCGACCCGCCGCUCGCCGCGUUCCUCCGGCCGGAGGCGCGCGGCGGCGGCGGUGGUGAUGCCGGUGGCGGAGACGGCGGUGCAGUGGUCGUGGUGCGCAGACCUCACGCCACGCUGGCCGACCCGGCCCGCAGGCCCAGCCUCAACUUUGAGAAGAUGCAGCAGAGCAUUGGUGGAGGACUCAGCUGCCCGCGAGACCCGGCCAUGUUCGCGUUCCGCCCGCUCGCCUCUCCGGCCGACGUGCUGGGAUGCAGCCCGGCCGUCCCCGGCUCCACCGCGGCACCCGACCCGUGACCCCCGUGACCCCCGUGACCCCCGUGUCCCUGACCCCCUUUGACACCCGCGAGGCUGUCGCGUCUUUGUCGAGGCUUGACCAUUCCACGGUUUAUUUACGGAGUCGCAGGCGUGGCAGGAAAAAAAAAAACGCCGUCGCGGCGCCGUCGAACUGACUCGGGCAAAUCGCGGAGGCGAUGUCGGGGAAAAUGCAGGCCGGCUCGAUGGAAAAAGUGACGCGAAAAUUCACGGGUUCGUGUUAAUGUCACGACGGGUUUGAACUUACGGCACAGCUAUUGCGAUGCGGUGCGGUGGGGGGGGGGGGGGAGUUGCAACGGGGCAGUUUCGGAGCGAGCGGUUUGCAUUCGUGCACGUGGGUAAUGAAGAAUGUAAUGAACCGAUUUAAUCCGACGACAUCUAGGCUAUCUGAUGAAGCGGUCGGAAAUGCGGGCGGCAAAGAAAAAAUGCAUUCCAGCCGUGGUUGUUUCGCAGGAGGCAGCCGUCGCCUCAUGCAAGAACGGUGCAGCAGAGUUAGCGAGCGAUUCCAGGGGGAAAUGCGGUGCGAUGGAGAACCGGGUAAAGGAAGCUGGCUAUAAUCGUGCCAAUGCGAUGAUCUCUGUCACGUGUGACAGCGAGGGUCCGAGGGACGGCAUUCCAGGUCAUGCGAUGGUUGCUGAAUGCGUUUACGACGACGUGGACUGUGAACGGCCGUGCAUAUCGACAGCUCUCGCUCGUUCAUUCAAUGUGCAGAGGGGGAAGGUAGCGAAGGUGAUGCUUACGUUGCCACCUGUCCCGGUUUUCCAAGGAUUGUUCCUCUUGUUCAGGCAGCUGUUGCCCUGGGAACAUCUGUAAGUCUUCCCGGGACGUCACUCUACAAUACACCAUGGCAAAACAAAGACGAUAUAUAUUCACGAAUAGCUAUCCCUUUCUUCCCAUGAUAUGUCUUGGAUAUUUUAGCUCCGAGGUGCCAAGUCUAAACAUAGCAGACACGAAUCGCCGAAGCUAGACUACAUUCUUCCUCAUGCUGUGUUUUGCAAUUUGCUUUUUCGGCCAUAGCUCACUGCAAACAGUGUGUCUUUGGGUGCCCUUUGCUUAUCGCCAGGCCUCUACAAUAGCCUCUUGCGCGCCUGCCAGUACGAAUGUAUGUGUGUUGAACUUCUUUUGCACGUUACGUAGCCAACCGUGCUCACAUCGGGGGAUGCGGAUAAGCCGGAGCCCAUCAGCCCACAGAGAUCUGCUCCACCCCACGGCGUCUCUCUCGGUGGCUUCUCUCGACAAGCACGACGAUAACGCCAUCCGUCCGCUCGCAAAAGGAACCGUUGUCUUCCCGAGACACUUGCUGUCACCCCGAAGUGUUUAUCGCACUAUCCAAGGGCGUCGUUGUCAACCCACCGCAUGGCAAUCGUUCGCGAGGCGUUCAUGAAACCCUGUCGGACUGCUCACUGGGUAAAAUAACCACGAGAUGAUUCUCCCAGCAUGCACUGCUCUCGUGUAAACCGUGGAAUUUUCAAAAUCAAAGAAAGAGGAAUGGGGGGGGGGGGGUGAAACAACGCUUGGAUUUCUUUAGUUCUCCCCCCAACCCCAUGAACACAUGCAAUUAGAAUCCUCAGAAGCGGUCGCUUGUCUGAGAGACGCCCCGUGGCCAGUUCCAGGGGGAGUUUUUAUUUUGGUUUGUUUCUCCAAACGAAGAAGAAGAAGAAAGUGUUCUGCAGAAAAUGCAAAGUUGUCGUACUGUUCAGUGAAUGCUGCCUUAUCUUGCAAGUAUUUUACACGUGUUUCCUAGGUACGCAUGGACGGUUAAGUGUGACGAUACCAAUUCGUUUUUUUUAUUGAAAUAAUUUAUGUUUAUCCUCGAACCGUGGUGAAGUUUUGUUCGUGUUUAUUUUCUCGUCGGUUACGCUUAAGUGCAGUAUAUUAAAGUGGAUCAAACAGAAUUGCUUUUUUAUCCUUCUCCAUUUUAGCUUCAUAAUAUUUAUGGACUGGCAAUGGAAUGCAGUCUUUCUUUUUGAAUUCAUCAGUCCCCCUGUGUAAUGUGAGUGUCCAUGGACAGACGCCUUCGCAUCAGGGCUAGAGCCAUUGUGCGUGUCGUGGUGGGUGGGUGGGGGUUGGCACAGUAGGGGGCACAGGUAGUGCAUCAGCCAUUCAUCUCGGUCAUCUCAGUCAGUCGACCCGUGGCACCUGGGUCUUCCCCGUGACCUCCUGCCAGUGGGCGUUCGACACUUCACGUGGCCUCAAGGUGCACAUGGCCUGGCACAAGCGUGCUGGUGACGUCACCGCCACUUCGUGGCGAAUGGCGGUUGUUGUUGUUGUGGGGGUACGGACACGGCCAGCACGUUCUGUAGGACACGGCCAAGAGACGUAACAAUUCGGACGAAUCUCGACCACCGUUUUUUUGAGACCACGCGUGCGUCGCCGCCUCCUCCUCCUUGAGCCAGGCGACGUGAACUCCGAUCGCGUCGACGACCGCGCAAGCAGCGGGCAGUAAUUGACGGUAGUAUUAGCGAAAAUCGGGUGAGUGUACAUCGGUAAUCUAACCAAUAACCAACGGGACCCAUUCCCUGGUGGGACUCCUCCAUCCAAAGUGUGUCUGCGUCCCUAUUUUACACCAUGCUAUCUUUGGCCAAUGACUCGUGUACACCAGUCCAACCUGCACUGCAAAGCCGAUUGUUCAACUUGCCUUCCGAUAGAGCCCAGGUGUGUGUGCAAUUAGGCGGCCACGUGGAUCGGAGUGCAACUUCCCCUUGUGUCUAAACGGUGGCGGCAUCUCGGGGUGGAUCUGCUGAGAUGAUCGACCGUUGACGAAGAGUCGUGGGGUCACUGCAAAGGGUCCACUCGGCCCCCACUGCGUCAUUUAGUCGAAACAAAUGGGCAGGCGACUCGUUGGGCGGUGGUAUCGGCCGCGCGUGUUUAUUCCUUCUUUGCACUUGGGUUCACCGCCAGCUACCGGGAGCCGACAUACAAUAAUGAUAAUUGUCACGAAAGUGAACAAUUGCUCGUUAAUGUAAAACUCCAUCAUAGAGUUUUAGAUUUGAAGCUUUCGUAACUGCAAGGAUUCAUAUUCUUAGGUUUUUUCGGUAAAGUCACGUAGGUAAAAAAUUCAAAUUAAUAAAAGUUAAAUAAAAAUAAAAUAAAAAUCAUAUUUUAUUUUUAUUUUACUUCCAUAAUAGAGGUUUUUUGGGGGUUAGAUUGCGUAAAUAUAUAAAUGUGUCGUUAAACCCGCCACCACCCGACACAGCCAAUUAGUAAUGUGUGUCACGUAAACAAAACAUGCCAAUUCGUCACUAGUACAGCACACCGGUGUGUUGGAGAGCCAAGCCACAACGUUUACAAUCUGAGUACGACGUUUCGCCAGUAAUUGCAACUAGCGUCAUCAGCCGACAGCCAGUUGUAAAACUUCCGAACACUCGACUCAAAAUUCGAGAAGUUUCUUUGGCACAUCGUUUUUUUUGUUAAAAUAUGGCACCACGCUUAAAAAUAAUUAAAUCCACACACGCGCGCGCGAGCGAGCGAAGACUGUUUUUAAUUUACCACUCGAAGCGUUUCUUUCCAGAAUGAAAAAAAGUAAAACCAGAAACGUACAGUGUUACUGUCAAGUCGGUCCAUGCCACGUGCAACAUUGUCCAAGGUCCAUGGACGAUGUUGAACCGUCACAGGAAAUCAUAUUAACAAUUGGCCUUACGACAUAAUCAUGUUUAAACAUUGAGAAAGAGACAUGUAUACGCGUUACAUAUAUUUGCCUAAAUAUUAUAUACAUCGACAAGACUGUACUAUGCAGUGUCCGCACAGGGUUGGGCAGGGUAUAAUAAUAUAAUUAAUUUACCCAAAACUAUUACAUCGUUAUUAACGUAAUCGUUGUUGAGAUGUAAGGGUAUCGGGAUUUCUCAGUCACCCUGUGGUUAAUCGCCACUCUUCUUUUUCUGUGCGUUCUUUUAUAUAUAUAUUUUAAAGCCUCGCUACAGCUGUCUGGUGAACUCUGCCAUCCAUCUUUGUCGAUGAAUGCAGCCAGGUGCGGCGUGCAAGGUGCGCGUUUCUUUGAACACCGCAGAUCCCGUGCGCGUCCCAGCAUUGACGCUGAGCCGCAUGCGAACAGCUCAAACGCCGCUGUCACGAGCGGGUCCACGGUGGGAGGGGGUGGGGAAGAAGAGGACGGAGAUGGAGCGGAUGGGAUCACUGAUAAAAUUCGUAGAAUGUUUCAUUCAUUAACUUAUGGGGGCCUCUACGAAGCUUCCCAUUUUUCUGCUCCCCCCCCUCCUGCCUUGGGAAGAUUCUCGAUCCGCCUCUGGUUCCUGUUCAGUUCUCUGUUGAGAGAGAGAGAGAAACAUGUGGGGGGCAACGCUACAUCAUAAUAAAAUUAUGUUGGCUGGGCCCGCUGAUUCCUUUCCAUCCCCCCUCCCCAUCCCAUCACCGUUGCCAAGGGAGAAACUUUGUCCAAGCCUCGGGUCGUACCCAACGUUUUAAUAUCUUACAAAAGUGCAUGAUUUUGAAAAUGUUUCUUUCGGACAUUGCCUCGAUCGAAAUAUAGUUUUCAUGGAUGAAACAUGUCGCGAAGACGAUGGUGGUAAUAAUAAUCAUAGCCACAACAUUUUGAGGAAGGGGGGGGGGAGGAAUACUCAUGAUACGGCAUGAUCCAGUGUCAUAGCCUUUGCGGAUUCAGGAUAUUCGCACAACAGCCGGAAUGUAUCGUCUCUUUGAAGGAGCGUUCGGAAAUACGGCACCACACUUGUUUAGCCGCGCUCACCGUUAACAAAGAGUGGCGUUGCUCAUCGAGACGCACACACACACAACACCGUUGUGAAGGAGCCUUGCCCUAUAACACUUUUAUAUAUGUACGUAAGAGCCAUAGAGGCAAUCUUUAACAAAGGUCCGUGGACACGUGUACAUUGUAAACCGUCCAAAUAUCAAUGAAACGACGAUUUACUGUAAACCAAUUUUAUGACGCACUAGAUUGGUUUAAAUACAUAAUGUGUGAUUGCCCAUGUUUGCAUGCGAUUGGCAGUAUACCUUACUCUGAUGUAAGUGUAAAUAUCUGUGUAUAAAUGCCACGUUUCAAAAUUCCUUAA